rnacentral:rRNA from 1 species
UGGGGGAUAUUGCACAAUGGGCGAAAGCCUGAUGCAGCGACGCCGCGUGGGGGAUGAAGGCUUUCGGGUUGUAAACCUCUUUCGCUAUCGAACAAGGCCCGCUUAGGGUGGGUUGAGGGUAGGUGGAGAAGAAGCGCCGGCUAACUACGUGCCAGCAGCCGCGGUAAUACGUAGGGCGCGAGCGUUGUCCGGAAUUAUUGGGCGUAAAGGGCUUGUAGGCGGCUUGUUGCGCCUGCUGUGAAAACGCGGGGCUUAACUUCGCGCGUGGAGUGGGUACGGGCAGGGUUGAGUUUGGUAGGGGUGACUGGGAUUCCAGGUGUUGCGGUGGAAUGCGCAGAUAUAUGGAGGAACACCGAUGGCGAAGGCAGGGCACUGGGCCAGUACUGAAGCUGAGGAGCGAAAGCAUGGGUAGCGAACAGG